AACCCAUUCGGAUGCAAUGACCCUAUCCUUGUGAGACUGGACGCCAGGGGAUAGGCGAGCAAGUGGCGUAACCGGCCGUGAUUUUU
rfam:Chloroflexi bacterium GWB2_54_36 gwb2_scaffold_4071, whole genome shotgun sequence.